CUAUGUGAGAGCAAUCUGGCUAUGGUGGCUGCCACCCACCGAGCACCAGGGUUGAUUCAGCUGAUCUGGCUGUUUAGGCAGAUGUCCCCUUUCUCCUUCACUGCUCCAGAGGCAUCACUCCUACAGCUGCACACUUGGUGAAGAGGAUGGCCAUCCCAGAUAGAAGGAAUAUACUGUUCUUCUGUCAAGGGUAUACAACUUAAGCAUGUAUAACCACGGCAGUUUGUCACAUCGGUAGCUUCAGAAGAAAAGGACCUGCUAUAUUC
rnacentral:sRNA from 1 species